GUUCGGCUCAUGUGAAAAUGACUGUGCUGUUGACGCCAGUGUAGUUCCACGGCAGCCUCGCCUGCCACAGUACCUUCCGUCUCCGCCACCUCUGCCAGCACAUCACCCCAGAGGGUCUAUCGAGGACUCGAAUUUGUGGGCAAGCAGAGCAGGCGAUUGACUUGUCCUCAGCACAUCUCCUGGCCCAUAUACACAGCUGUCCUGGACUUAGCGGCCUGCAAAAGGAAACCUCAAAACUCAGCUGCCUUGUCCCAUGUCAGUUUACAUUCACGCACAAAAGUGACCCUACUUCUAAGGUCAUCUGUGAGGCCUCUCUGCUUCCCGGGAGGUCAGAUAACUAUGAAGUCCAUGAUUGCUUUGAUGGGGACUUUUACACUGAAUCUUGAAUUUACGAUGGAAGGAAAGUUUUUCUUCUUUUUGUUAGUGAUCUGAAAUGUUUGAUGGCCCCUCUAAGGGAAUACUGUAGGGUUUUAGCUAGUCAUGAGCACAGGGGAGAUGUAAUGACACUCAUUUGCCUGGUAAAAUCUAAAUGCUGAUAGCAGUUGUUUUAAAUUCCGUGAAGAUGUAAGUUUUUUCUUGGUUGUGGGUAAGUGCAUAAGAAUUGCGCUGAUUUUCAUGAGUCAUCGUUUCAGUCCUUUAUUCGUUUUGCAGAGUAAGUGUUUGAUGUAAACAGAAUCCAGUGCUGCUUGGAGUCCUUAAAGAUGAACCCAGGAGUCUGUUUUAUGUGCCUGACCCAGCGCUCGGCUCUUCCUUCUCUCUCAAUCCUCCUGCCAACUGGAGGGGAGGGAGUGGCAGCGAGGGGGUAGAGGAGGGUCUGUGAUCUCCUCCAGUGCGCAGAGGAGUGAGCUCAGUUCCUAUGCCAGGACCUUCUGUCCAUUUUGGAGCCUGCAUGUGAAGGCGAGCAGUAUGAGGACACAGUGCAAGUGCACCUCCCAGCUGGGAGCGUGGGUGUGAAGGCGAGCAGUAUGAGGACACAGUGCAAGUGCACCUCCCAGCUGGGAGCAUGGGUGUGAAGGUGAGCAGUGUGAGGACACAGUGCAAGUGCAUCUCCCAGCUGGGAGCGUGGGUGUGAAGGUGAGCAGUGUGAGGACACAGUGCAAGUGCACCUCCCAGCUGGGAGCAUGGGUGUGAAGGUGAGCAGUGUGAGGACACAGUGCAAGUGCACCUCCCAGCUGGGAGCAUGGGUGUGAAGGCAAGCGGUGUGAGAACAGGAUUCAGUGAGGAGAGAAGCAGCAGCUCCGUGGCUGUAACUGGGUAACUAAUUUGUAGACGUGGGUAUGAACUGGGAGGGAAUGCAGACAGAUGGGAUGUUUUCAGAGUUGUGUUCACGCUGUUUUGGUAAUUAAAAAUAAACGAACUCUUUGCUGAUAAUGA